CAUGGUCUCAGAGAAGACUACAAAAAUGAUUCAUCAAAAGAAACCCAACUAGCCCACAACAUAUAUGCUAGCAAGAGAACAGCGUUAGAAAAUCUGAAGUAAGCAGAACACUCAGAUUCUUUCAAUCCCUGCCUCUGCCGGAUGCUGUUCCACACCUCUUCUCUCCAUAGAGUCUGAAACAUGUAGCAGACUAUGGUCUGAUCUUCCCCUUCUGAAGCUGUCUCCUUGUAAAGGAAAAUACUUAUAUUAAUGGAUCAUACAACAGGAGGACACUUUCCUCUGGAGGGGCAGAGCCCAAACUUGAUGGAGUGCAGCCAGCCCUCACCGCUUUCUGUCCUUGCCUUCCAACAACAGACACCACAGUUCUGCAGUAGUUUGUGUGAGCAGGAGGCAACUGGAGAAAAGUCAGAAGAGGAGAUGGGGAUGUGCAGAGAUAACACAAUAACUGUCAAAAUAUUUCACUGAAGAACUUCUCCAAGAGAUGGGAAUUUGAGUUGUGUCAAAGAUAGAGAAUUGAAGCCGUUUCUUGAGUGAACCCUCAUCUGCUAAGUUGCUGUAUAUACAGGGCAAGUAGGAGAUACCUCCCCAUCCACAUAGGCUUGGAAAGAAAGGAAUGAGAAGUGCUAAGCUCUUUGAAAAAAAAGAGCCUCUAAGAUAGCCUUUCAGGAGCAUGUUUCAGGUUUCAGUCCGACAGCAAGUGGAUAAAAGAUGUCUUUUUCUUCUGUCAUAUUGCCUACCUAUUAGGUCUAAGCUGUUCCUUCUCAAUAUGCUUUGCCUGCUUUGGAUCCCAUUCAAGCAUCUGAAUUUUCCUCUAGUUCUGGACAGGGUUUCAAGACCAGAUUUCUAAUACAUAGAUAUUAUAGCACUACUCAUUAGGUCAUUAAUGACAUCUUUUACUUAUGUAGGACCUAUGUGAUUUAUGAGGUUGUUUAAGUCAACACAAAGAAUAAAAAAUAUUAUGCUGUUACCUAUUUCCUCAGGUUACCCUUUCUUUUGUGUCAAUGCCCAGGCAAGACAGUCCAUAAUAAAUGUGACUCUUUGGGAUGCAGAAAUGGAACUUGGCUGGAAAUGUGUAAAGUUUUGCUUUUAGUUAAGUUGAAUGUCAUCCUCUCUUUGAAGAAGACAAAGAAGACAAGGAAGGAAAGUAUAAUUUAUCCACUGUAUUGACAUUUGGGUUUGGAAAGUACAAAAAUAUGUGAGCUGCACAUACUAUUAAUAUUAAUAACGUUAAAAAAAAAAUCCCUCACAAGGGCUUUGUGUUAAUCUUACAUGAUUCAACUCUUGGUUGCAUAAUGAAGAUCUUACAUAUUUAAUAAGCAAAUUGAAGUAGGCCUAAAUGAGUGAACAACAUAGCACUGUAAAAAGAAACAGGGAGGAGGGAAUUCUUGUCAGAUGAGGUUGCUGAAAAAAAAAAAAAAAAAAAAAAAACCCCGAUCUACUGACAUUUUUAUGUCUCCCAUCAAAUGUCAUUGUGAAUUGA